GAAGGUUUUGGGAACUGAGGGAUUGACAAUAUUCCCAGGUUGGGAAGGUUUUGGGGGACAGUUAUUUGCAAUAUCCCCUGGGCUGGGAUGAUUUUUGGGGGCUGAGGGAUUGACAAUAUUCCCCAGGAUGGAAAUUGAGGGAUUGACAAUAUCCCCAUCCCAGGUUUGGAAGGUUUUUGGGGACUGAGAGAUUGACAAUAUCCCCCAAUCUGGGAAUUGAGAGAUUUGCAAUAUCCCCCAGGCUGGGAAGAUUUUUGGGGUAAUUUAGGGAUUGACAAUAUUCCCCUGGCUGGGAAUUGAGGGAUUUGUAAUAUCCCCCAGGCUGGGAAGGUUUUUGGAACCAAGGAUUUUCAGUAUCCCCCAGGUUUUCAGGAAUUGAAGGAUUGACAAUAUCCCCCAGGCUGAGAAGGUUUUUGGGAACGAGGGAUUGGCAAUAUCCCCAUCCCAGGCUGGGAAGGUUUUUGGGAAUGAGGGAUUGGCAAUAUCCCCAUCCCAGGCUGGGAAGGUUUUUGGGAAUGAGGGAUUGGCAAUAUCCCCAUCCCAGGCUGGGAAGGUUUUUGGGAAUGAGGGAUUUGCCAUAUCCCCAUCCCUGGGUGGGGGUGAGUGGCUGUGUCUCCCCCCAGCCUCCCCCACCCACCCCAGCAUUGUGCUGGGGGUCAGAGCGGGAUUUUUCACUUCAGAUGGGUUUUCAGAAUGAGAUUUUCGUGCUGCUGCCUGCGACUGGCCCAGCUCCUCCCUCUGCAGAGCUGCAGGAACAUCCCCAGGCUCUCCAUGGGCUCCUGGCAUCCCCAAGGCCACCUUGGGCCACCACUCCCCUCCUCCCCACGGCCCUUUCCAAGCAUUUGCAGGCAAAUCAGAGCUGCUGGAGAAGGGGGGACCAUCUGCUGCUCCCUCUGCUGUCCCCCACAGCCUCCCUUUGCUCCCCAUAGCUCAGUUAAGCACGUAGGUGUUAGCAAACUCUGGGCUGUCUGCAAAACCUUUUGUAAAAUAGAAUAGAUCUUUAAAUAAUGCACUAAAAUAAAAAAAAAUAAAUUAAAAAAUCCUAAAUGCCUCCCCACCCCAGUCAGCUUCUCUGUGUGAUGGUUCCUUGGAUGUCCCUGCUCAGCACAGGCAGCUCUGCAUCCUCCCCCCAGGGUGCUGCACAGGUAGAAACAAACCAGGACGUGCACUUCCCCACCCCCCCGAGGAGUUUUAUUUAUUGUUUUGAGAAGCAAUUUAAAAGGGAAAAAAAAAAAACACAAAAAAAAAAAAAAAAGGGAGAAACUGUAUCUAUAAUAUAUAUAUAUAUAAAUAUAUAUAUAUUUUUAACCUGUUUUUUUUCCUGAUGCUCCUCCAGCCGUGUGUGUGGGUGUGUGUGGGUGUGUGUGCGAGUCAAGGGAUUGGGCACCGGGGCAGGAGCAGCGGGACCGGCCCCGGGAGGGGAGGGAGGGAUUAUUUCGACAAUUUGUGAUGUUUUAACCGCGAUUUUCAGCUAAUUCCACCUUUUCUGAAGUGUUUGCACCCUCGGGGUCUGGCCUGGCUGGGAACCCCCCAUGCCCUGUCCCAUUCCCUCCCUCCCUCCUCCCUUGACAAUCAGUGGCUCCUUCCCAGGGACUGCAGCACGUGGUUGAGACGUCGAUUUUCGUUUUUUCAAUAUUCCUUUUUUUGUGCUGUAUGGUGAUGCGUUAUUGUAUAUUCCACAAUAAGGAGAAAAAAAAUAUAUUAAAAAAAAUGAUGAUAAUAAUAAUAAUAAUAAUUACCAUGAGAAAUUCUUAUGAGUUUUGUUUGGAAACUCUUUCACUAUAUUUGUUGUAAAGAGGUUUACUAUUAAAAAGAAAAAAAAAUACACGUUUCUGAUAAUUUUCCA